UCUAGUGGAAUUUUGUGAGUCCACAAGCCUGCUUCACUGUGCUUUCUCCCAUUCAGUGUAGGCAAACACAUUUCUUAAAAUCUUUGUGUGUCUUCAGUGUAUUCAGGAGGAUUCAUCCAAGUAGAGUGAAAAGCCACAUCCAUGAAUCUUUUUGAAACAGUCUCUUCUCUGUGUGCUCUCUGCUGAGGUGGUUGAGGGACAACAGCUGAGAGGACAGGUGAGAGGAUCCUUUGUGUGACUGAAUUCUCUAACCAGUUGAUCUUCCUGUGGUGCAUCUGCCACAGUGAUGCAGUGAUUGGUACAGAGGACAGGCAAAAGAGGUAAACAUACACAUAGUGAAAUCCAUAAAGAAGAGGGGAAAGAAUAAGACAGUGCUAAGGUUAUUUCAUUUCUAAAUUGCUUUCAUUCUUGAGUAUAAGAAGGGGGCACUGUUUAAGGCUGAUGCAGAAGUACUAAAAAGUUAUCAAUUUAGAGUGUUUGGGUAAUGGUGUCACAGUCACGAAAAACCAGAGGAUGGGAGAGAAAGAAGAAAUAAAAACUAGACUCCUGUUCAAUCAAUCCUGAAACACCUAAUUAAGAAAAUAUAUUGCUGUGUAACAGGUAUUCUAGAAAAAGACACUAGGAAGAAAACAGAAAAAAAAAGAAACAAUAGAAAACUUUUCCUGAGUAAAGUCUUUGGAUGCAAAAGGUUCAUUCAAAAUUUAAAGGAAUUAAACAGUAAUGAUGAAAAUCUGCAGAUUCAUAAGUAAUGAUGAAUUUUUUUGACUACAAGAUCAGAAACAAAAGAAAAAGAAUAUUUAAAAUGUUUAAAAAACUUUCAGAAAGAAAAUAGGCCAAGAAUUCUAUGUAAAAGGAUAAGAACCAGACAGAAAAUAUUUCUUUUCUGAAAGAAGAAAAAUUGAGCAACAACCAUGGGAAAUAGUGAGGUAUAGUAUUGCUAAGGAGAGCAUUAAAACUUUCUUUGUGUGGCAGAUUAAAAAUUCUUGCCCCACUCUCAGAGACAUAAAUUACAGUAAACAAUUUUUGAAGUAUGUUUGGUCUUUUUUUUUUUUUUUUUCCGAAGAAUUGUGCUAAAACGCAUUGAUUUGCUGGAAGAAUUUCAAGAUGCCUAGAAUAUUGACAAUCUGAAGGGUAUUAAUUAGGUCAUGCGCACCAGCAGGGGGAGACUCUGCACUUUAGGAGUUCCAGGCGCACUGCUGCUCUCCCUUCCCCUCCCAGGUCUCCCUGGGAAAGGCCAGCAGUUCUACCCAGAGCCUGGCAACCAGCUCAGCUCUGAUUUCACUGACUAUUCCAUCAUAUAAUUAGUAAAUGACGCUAUCUGAGGUGUGGGUUUGGAUGUUUGAGCAGCAAAGAAGCAUGAAAUAGAGCAGGACUUCAACUCUACUUAUGCUUGCAGACUCAGAAGCUAGGAGAUUGCUUAUAUAAAAUUACAUGCUUAGAAAAGAAAAUUCACUGCCUUCCCUCUAGUGCAAGUCACAACCCUUUUUCAUAUUGCUUUCAUAAUUCUCUGCCACUGUCAAAUGAAUUCUUGAUACUUCAACAAAUCAUUUUAUUUUAUAAUUUAUAUUUAAAAUUAUCAGAAGAAUAAAUAUAGUUUAAAUAUUAAAGAAUAGAGAUGUGUUUUAAUAAAACAGGAGAACUUCAUAUCAUAUAUUCUUAUUUUCUUGGGUAAUUUAAAUAUAAAUUGACUCUGAGUUAUGUAAAUGCUUCUUUGGGGGUUAUCUAAGGAUCAAUGAAUUUGCAAGGAUUCAAAUUAUACAAAGUUUGCCUAUUGAUCAAAGUGAAAUAAAAUUAGAAAUAAAUGCAAAAAUAUAUUGUCAAAUAUUUGAAAACAAAAAUUCACAGUCCUUUUGAGUAAAACAUGGGUCAGGGGAGAAAAUCAGAAAGAGAUUUAAAAAUUAUUUCGAGAUGAAUGAAAUAAAACACAAUAUAUCACAAUUUAUGCAUUUAAAGCAAUGUUUCAAUAAUAAUCACAAGAUUAAAUACACCGUCAAUGAAGAGAGAUCUCAGAUCAAUGAACUAAGAUUCUACCUUAAGAAAUUAGAAAACCAUGUAUUAUUUCCCUUUUCAUUGCAGCAUAAAUCCUAAUAAAGCCUCUUUCUGAUGGAUAAAAAAGAUAUUAUAAACUUAAUAUCAAUAUAAGCCCAAAUUAAGCAGAAGAAGGGAAAUAAUAAAGAAUGGAGUACAAAUCAUUGGCAUGUAAAUCAGAGAAAUGAGAGAAAAUUAAGUGUAAUAAAAAUAUAUUUAUUUUUCAGGAGGUCACUAAAAUUGCUAAGCUUAACCAGGAAAAAACCCCACAAUUUACCAAUAUGAAGAAUGAGAGAAGAGACACCAUUGCAGAUUGUGCAGAGAUUAAAACACUUAUGAAAAACUUUAUGCCUACAAAUUGGACCACUUAGAUGCAAUAGGAAAACUCCUUGAAAAACACAACCUCUAAAGAUCAUUCAAGAAAAUGCAGUAACUUAGCCCCGAAUGGUAGUGAAUGCCUGUAAUCCUGGCAGCUGAGGCAGGAAGAUCUGAAUUCAAAGUCAGUUUCAGCAUCUUAGCAAGUCCGUAAGCAACUCAUUGAGACUCUGUCUCAAAGUAAAAAUUAAAAAAGAUCUGGGGAGUGACUCAGUGGUUAAGUGCCCCUGAGUUCAAUCCCACAGUACCCCACCCCCCCAAAAAAAAAGGAAUAACCUAAAACAGCCUUGUACCUAAUAAAUAGUUAAAAUCCUUUCCUCAAGGAUGCUCCGGGCCCUCCCAGGUGACAAAUUCUUUGAAUUCAUUGAAAAAUUCUUCCAAGCACUUAAAGAAGCCAUAACAUCAUUAUAUAAAUUGUUCCAGAAAAUGAAAGAAGAGGGAAUACAUCUCAACUCUCUUCAUCAUUAAUCUUCUAUCACAAUUAAAUAUACUACAAGAAAACCCUCAUGAGCUAAUAUCCUCAUAAACAUAGAUGAAAAGUUCUCAAUGCAAUUUUAGUAAACCAAACUUAACAACAUAUAUGAAGAAUAAUAAAGCACACCUAAUCAAGGAAUGCAAGGUUGUUUUAGCAUUAAAAACUUUAUCAAAGUGGUUUAUUUUAUUAUUGGAAAAAAUGAACAAAACAAUCAUUAACUCAAUUUUUGCAAAAAAGAAAAUUUGACAAAAUCAACAUCGAUUCAUGAUGGAAAUACUUAGAAAGUUAGAAAUAGAAAGAAAUGUUAUCAAUCUGAAAAAGGGCCACAAACAUCAAACUCAAUAGUGAAAGAAUAAAGCUUUUGCUCUAAUAUAGGGACUCAGCAAAGAAUGUCUGCUGUUCUUACUCUAGUCAAUUGCGAAAAAGCAAGAGAAGAAAUAAGAGAUGUGCCAAUUGAAAAGGGCAAAGUAUGUUUUUUUCCAUAGGUAACAUGAUUGACUAUAAAACAUGGAUUGGCAAUUUUUUUGUAAAAAACAGAUAUUUUGGGCUUUGUGUCCUAAGAUGUGAAAUCAAG
rnacentral:lncRNA from 1 species